CUCAAUUUUGAGUCUCAUAGCGAAGGGUCUGAAUACUUACGUAAAUAAGGACCACAUAGUUAUCACUGGACAUGAUUCUCAGUUAUCUGAACCAUGAGUGGUCAGAUGUGUGAUGUGUGUGUGAGUGUGGACAUCUUCCAUUAAACUCCCUUUAACCUGGA